UACCCUUAUGUACCUGGACCCAAAGUUCAGGGAAGACACAUAUAUGUAGGAAGAGUGUUAUUCCCAGCCCCUAAUAUCUUCACCUUGUAUGGCUAAACUACCUGGGUCGUGACCUGACCUCUAAUCUAAUCUAUCCUGUACAUGUAUGUGACACAGAUAACUACAUGAAUGCACGCAUGAUAGACUGCGGAAUCAGAUGAUAAACAUCACCUGCUCGCCACAGGUCAUCCAGCUAUCCCAGACACAUAGCAAUGAAACCUAUGAGCCAAAGCAGACUAAGGGGUAGGAUCUCUUGAUAUGUCCACAUUCUUGGGGAGCACAAGUCCAGGCAUGCCAAGGGGGCAUUGCUGAAUCUCUCCAAGCAAGGUUGAGCAGUUCCCCUGGUGAGGCCUUAUGCAGAAAACCACGGAUUCUUGCUCACUACCAACACUGUACGAAUGGUGAUACAAAGUAAGGAGACAAUAGGCUCAUCCACUCUGUGAAUAGAAACAGUAUCAUGUGUCCUGGGAGUCCAAACAAAGCUAACCAAUGCAGCUGGAAGGAGGAGGAGGAUUUAAGAGGAAGACUUGUUUGAUGGGGCUCAGAAUGGUGAACAGUUGCCAGUUUGCUCAAGAACAACAAAAACCUUGUAGAUGGUGCUGAUGGUUUAAGACAAUCAAGCUGUUUGACGCUGCCAGUAUUGAGCUCCCCUACUCCCCCUUUGAAAAGAAGAUGCUCCUUUCUGCUAGUUUUAACGCAACUCUACUGGCUACUAUGACGUGAAAGGAAUAGUCAUGGACAUCUGUGUCUCCUCAGAUGGUAAUGACCUUAGAACAAGUGUGGUCUUUGGCUACACGUGCAUAUUUCCUGUUAACGUCAACGGGAGCCAUGCAUGCAUGUGUCUAACGGCACCAUUUGACCUCUUAUAUUAGCCACAGGGAUUUCAAGCCACUUUGCAAACUGCUUGGGCGAACUACUACAUUAAGUAGCUUUUAGCCUCAGUGAUCAGCAGGACUUUGGCAACCCUAUGACUGAUGCACCUGAAAGAUUUCUGAUAUGCAGAAGGGCUUAAGAGAAUACUAGGGAGAAGGCAAUAACAAUUAAGUUAAUUAAUUAACUUAAUCUAAUUAAGUUAGCAAAGUGCCUUGGAGAAAAGUUCCUUACUUCAAUGGUGCCAUGACAUUUCCGACCCAUUGUAAGUAAUAGCAGCAGGGGGAUUACAAGGAAUGAAUAUAGGGAAUUUACUCUGUCAGAAGAGAAAAGAAAUGUGUGGAAUUUAAAUGUGUGAUUUCUUCCUUACAACUAAAUCAUGUCAGUUCGGAAGACUUACUAAACAUUCUUAGCCACUAAAGUGUCUUUAUUUUGACAGCUGAGGAGGUAAAUCAUCCUCCUAAACAUGGUAGAAAACCCCACUGGCCAAGCAUGUUUAAUUUAAUUAUUACUAUUAGUUGUAUUCCUGUAUCACCUAGGAGCUUUAACUAUAUACAAGACCCUGCUGAAUUCCCUGCCUCCAGUACAAAUGUAAAUGCAUUAUUCCUAUUGACAUAAUGUGCUUGGCACUGAAAAAAGAUGUCUUUCUCAUUUAUUUCCAUCCUCCAAGCUCUAGGCUUUGAGGCUUUGAGGUUUAUGUGUGAUAAAUUGUUCUUCCUUAGAGAAAACUUUUCAAUAUACUGCCUGUUUAAUAAUAUUAAUCCUUCCACUCAAGGCACGUUUCAUCCAACCAUUAAUUAAGCUCUGCAAUAUCCCUGAAAAUAAUAUAUUAGUAUACCCAUUUCACAAAUAGUUAAAUUGAGGCCCCCAAGAAAUUAAGUGACUUACCAAAGUCAUAAUGCAAAUUAGUGGCAGAGUUGGGAACAGAACUCAUGGAUCCUGAGUCUGACUCCUAUUUGCCUGCUCUAUGCACUGGACAAUACUCAUUCCCUUGUCUAAACACUGAAAUGGUGUAGUUGCCUUGAAUUUCCCAUCUCAAUUAGAUAUGACUAGUGCCAGAAACAUCUGCCCUUUCUAUGAUGGCUUCAGGAAAGAAUUUCUGAAAAGCUAAUUUAUCUUGAAUUGAAAGCCUGUGAGGCUAUAAUAUUUGUUUAGGAAAGAAUUUCAGGAGUAGACAGAAUCCAAAGAUGCUGCAUUAUUAAUGAUCGUUCAUUUUUAAUUUGGCCUGCCCACCCAUUACUAACCAUAACUGGUAGCACUCUUCAUCUUAACUAACCAUGUUAUGAAUGACAACCUGAAGAGCAUGUUAAAAGAACGUAACCUCAUAUAACCUGACACUGUGAAUACUAGAGUUGACCCUGAACCAAAACCUUGGAUCCAAACACUUGGGGACUUUGGAUCUACAGACUCAUCUCUAGUGAGUGAUACUUCCAGAGUUAAAAUAAGAAAGUUGUACCAAAUAAUAGCCCUUUCCAUUUGUGUAUUUUUCCUUUGACUCUGGGGAAAAAAAAAUCAAAACUGACCAAACUAUUGUGGAAGUUUUCUGAUCCAUUCUGGCUGCUGAGAAGCCUGGGGAAGUCAAGGUAACACAAUGACAUAUUGUGUGGUGUCCCCUCCCAUCUUCUGCUUCUGUCCCUCACUCCAGGAAGAAUAUAAGAAAAUAACAUAAGGAUGGUCACACUGGAUCAGACCAAUGAUCCAUCUAACCCAGUAUCCUAUCUUUUGUCAGU